rnacentral:rRNA from 1 species
AGAGUUUGAUCCUGGCUCAGAUUGAACGCUGGCGGCAUGCCUUACACAUGCAAGUCGAACGGCAGCACGGGAGCAAUCCUGGUGGCGAGUGGCGAACGGGUGAGUAAUGUAUCGGAACGUACCUUUCAGUGGGGGAUAACGUAGCGAAAGUUACGCUAAUACCGCAUAUUCUGUGAGCAGGAAAGCAGGGGAUCGCAAGACCUUGCGCUGAUUGAGCGGCCGAUAUCAGAUUAGCUAGUUGGUGAGGUAAAGGCUCACCAAGGCGACGAUCUGUAGCGGGUCUGAGAGGAUGAUCCGCCACACUGGAACUGAGACACGGUCCAGACUCCUACGGGAGGCAGCAGUGGGGAAUUUUGGACAAUGGGGGCAACCCUGAUCCAGCC